GAAUUGUGCAGUUUCCACAGAAAAGGCGCGAGGAUCAAUCGAGAGGGAGAGGGAGAGGGAGAGGGAGAGGGAGAAGGAGAGAAAGAGAGAGAUCGACGACUUCAAAAGAGAGUUGCAGAAACGAGCUCCGAACUGCAAUUCGUCAACUCAGCGACCGUUGCCUCUACUCUGCUGCCAAAUGGGCAGCGGAGCAGUUGGUGGGGAUCGAGCAGGAUCCGGCCUAAUUCACACCGUCGCACACGAGAUUCCAGCUAGGUAGUUCCAGCAUUCGCCGGAGAUUUCGCACUAAUGAGAUUGCUUCCACACCAACCGCCGGCGUAUCUUCCGUAUCUACACCAGUGCUGGAGGAGGACGAAGCCAUAGAUGGUGAUUUCUACCUUUUAGCGAAGCCGUACUUUGAUUUCCGGGAGUACCGUAGGGCUGCUCAUGUGCUUCGUGAUCAGACUGGAAAGAAAGCCGUGUUCUUACGAUGUUAUGCUCUUUAUCUGGUUCGCCUCACGCUUAUUUGGUCAUCUUUUUUGCUUCGAAUUGGUCGUUCAUUUACCGUUUCAUGGUUUUGAACUUUGAUUAUGUUGUGCGUGUGGACGCUUUCUACCCUGGCAAGGGGUAGGCAUGGAGAAGGGGGAAGUUCCAGGUUUAAUUCCAUGUCAUAGCAAAAAGAAAAAGGGAAAAAAUAUUACCUACUGAAAAAUAAAAAUAAAUAAAAAAAAACCUAGUUUUUAAUCAUCA